AUCUACAAUCAAAUCUUUGGUGACGUCACAUGACGUCACAUCCGAUAGUGCACGCAAAAAACGUGACAGUUCAUGCUCACAACGUGAUGACGAAUUUCGAAAAGUUUUGUUGUGUUUGUUUUUACUGGAUAUUUACAAACCCAUUAGUGUCAGGAAACAGCACUCUGGGACACAAUGUAUGCGUGACAUAUAAAGAGACCUCAAAGAAGACUUCAUCAGCUCAACAUUUAGAAGAUGCAGUUAAAAAGACCUCAAAGUAGACCUGUUUGGAUCAACAUUAGAAGGACACGAUCCUCGUUCUCCUGGCUGAUUGUCCGACGUUUUAUCGACUCAUCCACCUCCCCUUCCUCCAGCCCAGAGUCUGAUAUUCAAACUCUGCAUCGCUGACGAUCAUUACUACAGCAAGAUGGCGUCGGAGUACAAUGGAAAAGAUGUCGUGCUGCAAUCUGAGAGCUGUAGAAUCCGAGAAGGCGAGCCUUGAUGCCCCUACCACCAUCUGCUACUACCACAAAGG